UCAAUUCUUCUUUCAAACUGCAGAUUUUUUUACCUGUAUGGGACCUGACUGUGCAAUCUUUCCCUGCACAGAUAACGUGCUCAGGACCGGCACUGCUCCCGUUUCCUCUCCCUCCUUCGACGAGCUGGAUUACUCCUGGUUUCAUUUUCUAUUGCGAAGGCUGUGAUUUAGUCAAACCAGGGGGAUGCUGUGUUUGGAUGCUUCUAAAGCAGUAUGGUUUGAACUGAUAUUUAGCUGGUUGAAGCUGAAGUGCUUCUCCCCUUGAUAGUGACGCUGAUUUAUUUCUGUUUCCUUCUGAAUCAGUCUAGGGAAAGUAGCGCACAAGUUGUACACUGGACGCAUUGCCUUUCAAAUACCAAAAUACCCAAAUAGAGGUCUAUAUAACAUAUGUAAAGGUGUUACUGAAGGGCAAGUACUAGACAAAACUGUGGCACUUCUGCACAGCAAGUGCUUUUUUCCCCGCACAGCGCAGGGAAUUGACUGAAUCUGUCACAGAUGUGUGUAAGAUGUGUACAGCCUUAUGAAGCAACUUCUGCAAGUAUUUAGCAGUAAGACAUAUUGACUGUAUCCUGAAGUCCUUAGUCAGACGAAACCUGCCCAGAGGUCAAUGCGAAUCUCGAUUGAUCGAUUUAUUCAGCAACAGCUCGCUGUUUCUGUGUGUUUCUGAGGCACGUACCUUUGGACGGAACACAAAAUAAAAACUGAAAUCAGGUUAGGACAUGGGAAGACACAGAGAAUGUUUGUCCACGUGAAGGGUGUCUUAGGGAAGGAAUUGUUAGUUUUUGGGGGCGGUGGAUUGCGGGGGGAGGUUUGGAGCAGAAUGAGGCGGCAGCGGUCGCCGAGCCCCCGGCUGCGUGACAGAGCUGCUGUACAAUAGCAGGGCCCUUCCCUCAAAUCACAGCUUGUGAAAACUGACAUUUCCAUUCAAAUUACUCCAAUAGCCAACUGUUCCCCGGCGCGGCUUCUUCUGUAAGUGACACGGUGACAGCGAUCCAGGAAUUUAACUUGCUGUUGUCUGGUUCCAAGUGGAAUUAGGAAGUUUGUGACAUGCAUUAGGAGGAUGGCUCCUGGUCGCAGCCGCUGCUUUGUGUGUCUGUGCGAUUAAUCACAGGUCGAGCGCGGAGCCCGGGAAGUUGUGUCAGCUCAGGAGAGCUGUCCCCGCUCUGAACAGCCUCCUACUGGCUCCUCUCCUCCUCGUUUCCCACCCUCUGAGCAAACAACCACCGCUCCACUGAAGUUCUCCUGGCACCUCCUGGUUCCCUGAGCCUUUUUUAAGUCUCACUCUUUAAUUAUGAUGGGCAGAUCAUCUGUUCUUGAUACAUGCGCACCUGAUGGUCACAUUGCUGGGCUCCCUCCUCUCCUCAGGGAUGCCUCUUGGAUACCUUUUUUCCCCCACAACUUGUUUUUCAUUGCAAGUUACCUUUUGAAUUUCUCUCUGAUCUUUUAAGCCUCUUCUGUUCAUACAAUAAGCCAGCAGAUAUUGUGAUUCGAGGUGUUUGCCGUACACAGACUGAAAUUACAUGGAAUUUUUGGCCGACUUUUUUUCUGUGUUACGUGAUGAACCAGUGAACUCCUUCGGUUUGCGGUACUCUGCAGCGGAAUUCCAGCGUUUGGUGCCCAAGCCAAAGCACUGGAGAGUGAAUCCCGUGCCUUAGAGGCUCCUGGACAAUCACCGAUCUGCUGCCACCGCUCAUUGAGGUGGCACAACUCGUGGUGGGUCCUUUGUUUGCCGUGGUGGCACCUUUCAGAAGAGGCUCCCAGGACCCACCUAGAAUCUAUUCUGUGAUUCUGUCAGGCUGGUGCGGCCCCACAGAGCUGGUAUGUCCCAUUGGGACACAGAAUCACAGAACAGUUUGGGUCAAAGGGACCUUCAAGGCUCAGUCCAAGCCAUGCCACCAGCAGGGACAUCUUCACCCAGCUCAGGCUGCUGGUUGGGGUCAGGCUAUGGGGCUCCUUGUUCCACCCCGUUCCUCUGCAAAGAAGCCAGAUGAGGACAUGGAUCCUACUUGAAGCUCAAUGUGCUCCUUGUGAACCAAAACCAGCAAUCACCCCCAGCCCCAGACACAGAUCUGAACCUCUUCAAACUUGGAAACAUCCCCAUCUGGAUCUCAACCCGGCCUAUAAUCAUCUUCCCUCAAAACUCAUUUUUGUAACUUGAUAACCAGCAAAUGCGUCAAUCUGUUAUUAAGAAAAAUGUCGUUAUAGAGUCAUGUUUAUCUACACUUCUUUGAGAAAAACUAGGCCUCAUUCUUGCUGUCAGUCAGAAGAAUAAGUAAUGUCAAGUUUUUAUAGUGAAUUCAUUACCUUGUUGGACAGGGAGUGACUCUAACCAUAUUUUGCAGAAAAGCUUUCAGAAGAAGAAAAGAUACGGUGUGCGCUAAGUGAGCGUGAGUCACAGUCUGCACUGCCUGACAACAGAGUCAAUAAAGCAAAUACAUCGACUGGCUGUUGAUUCGACACCAUGCGCCACCCAUGAAUGAAAACAUGCUGUUAAAUUAAGAUUAUUCCAUCAUUUUCAAAUUAAAUCCUUGUAGAAAUAUUGCAUCUCAAAUGCUCUGCAAAAUGUUGUGUAACCAAUAUGAUCAGAGGUCAGUUAUUAGGGAUAUAUAUGUUGUCCUGGAGUAUCAAACUACUGAAAGCUUACACUUUGAUCUUCCGAGUACUUGGAAGUUUAUUCUGGCUCCUAUUGAAUCUCUAGGUACGGAUCAUGUCUGCAAAGAUGUAAAAGCCCAUGGAAGCUUCCUCAGUCGUCAGAGACGUCGCGUUGCGUGUGCUGCUGUCAGUUGGUCAUGGUCGAAGCUUUCAAUAAAUAUGACUUUAUGGUUUUUCACCUGCAAAGAAAUGCAGCCUCACGUACAGACUGCCAUCGCGUUUAUGUUCAUUUUUGAAGACACAUCCAUCUAUCGAGAGAAGGUCUGACCGAGACUCUGGAAAGUGCAGCUAAAGCAAAGGUGGAGGGUUAGAUGUGUCCUGAAACAAAACUUGGUAAAAUGUUGCUGUUCUAGCCUUAAGGAAGGAAAGUGCAGUGUUACCCUCCUGGGGCAGCGCUUCUGAGCAAGGCAGAAUGCUUCUGGAGGUGAAAAAGGUACAAUCUUCAUUUAUUCUUUACCCUUGUCUGGAAUCGCCAAAUAAUUUAUCUGUUUGUUUCAAACCAGCUCCAUGAUGCCAUGGCUGCUGAGCUGGCUCUGCGACUUGAUAGCUGGCUUAGUGUGUCGAGCAAAAACAUCCUUCUGAUACUAAAUAUUUCUUCAGAAUCACAGAAUUGACUGGGUUGGAAAAGACCUCAGAGAUCAUCAAGUCCAACCCUUGGUCCAGCUCCAGUCUAUUUGAUACGAUACUCCAACUCCAUUAUUUGAUACGAUACAUUUCUUCUUAUAGAACGGUCAUAUCAAUACAAGCCGCCCUAAAACCAGGAAACAACAUGGGAAAAUGAUCUGGUUGCUCAGUUCCCCGCGGUUGGACCUGCUUUGGAUAUCCUAACGAAGGCCACGAGCACUCUUCUUGGUGUGAGAGUGGUUGAGAUUCUGUGUCCCCAUGAGAGAUGCGCCAUCCUUGGAAAGGGGGAACCCCCAUCCACUGGAAAUACCAGAUACUGGGUGAUGCACCCACCUCGCACCAGCACGACCCCGCAGGGACCUCCUGCCUUCCCAGGGCGCUUUUGCACAGAGCUGAAAUGCUAAAAACCAGAAGAACCUCCCCAAACCAACCCAUUAAUGAAGUGUGUGCUGGAGGCUGUCAAAGAAAGAGUGAAAAAUGACCGGCGCACAGAAAAGGAAUUUAAAAAGUCAUGGGUGAUGCAGUGUUUGCAAUCACUGUUAUAGAGCCGGUUUAGGCUUUUGAUGAGAAAUAAAUAAAACCCAACCAGUUUGGUGAAUAUUAAACUACUUUCUGAAGUUUCAGAAAACAUCACUUGCCCUGUUGUGAGAAGUAACGGCUUUAAAUCUCUCGUGGUCUGGCCGGAGAGGACGGGUCUGGGGCUGAAGGAGAUACGCUGUAAAAAUCGUGGCUUUCCUUAAAUCACAGCAAAAGUAACAAAAAAGUGCUUAGAUUCGAUGGCGAAUAGAGGAUUAACUGCACAAUGCUGCUGGUAUUUGAAUUCUGCAAUUCACUCUGUCUCUGUUGGUCAUGCCAGCAAUAAAAAUAAUGUUUGGCUGCUAAGUGUGCUAAAAAAAGGGCUUUAUAGUGCCCAGAAUCUGUUUGUCAGCAGGUGGGGAGAAAGAGGAAAGCUCAUCUUAUUUUAUUUUCAAGGGUGGAAAUUUAACGCUGGGAACCCAAUUCAUAGUUUAUUUCUUAUCAAAAGUCUUAUCUCCCUAAUUCUGGAUAAAAAAAAUAUAUAUAUAUAUUUAUAAAUAUACAGCACAUCCAGCCUUGCAGGGCGGGCUAUUUAUAGAAAAUCUCUGCCUUUUGUCAGAUUGUUGGCUCUAACGAUGUUGUUCCAGAAUAAACCCUGUUGUUUGCAGCAGGAGAGGAAGAGUCCUGGGCAGAGCUCGCAGAAAGGGCCGGGGCAGCAAAACCCGCCACAAUCUAAUCAGCAUCUCUGGUCGUCAGGGAGAGAAGACGUUGCAUAAAGCAGACGCAUCCAGGAAAUAAUGCCCGUCCAGUGCGGCCAGAUGGAGUGGGUAUAUCCUGACAAAGCAUUUGUUUUCAUCAGUGUUCAAUUAACAUUAUUUCUGGACUGCAAGCACAGUCCAGAAGUAGUACGGGAAUUAAUCACAUUGCUGGUAGAAAUAUACAUGAAGGUAAUUGUGCGCUAGUUAAGAAUGGCAGUUAUAAGAAAUAAAUCUUGACGUUUCUGUAGGAUUAUUUUGCCUAUGUACAAACCAGAAAAUAUUAGUUCAAACUAUUUAAAAUGAUGUUUUUAAAAUUCCAGCUCUUUUUUGCACAAAAAAAUCACCCCGAACAGCUCCAGCUCUUCCUGUAGGUUUAUAUGAAUACAGUAACUGAAGAAAAACUCCACCAGAAACUUUUAUGUGUAAUAUAACACAUACACCAUCUAAUCAAAAGUUUAUGAUAGCGGAAAUCUCAGAUGAACAGAGGAUGUUUUUUUCUGGUUUAUAUUUUGAAAUAACCCCAUUUAUGUGCGAGUUUGUGGGUACAUGAAUCCCAUAUUAAGUGAGCAGGGCUCUUCACUCGGGUCAAAUUGUGUGUGUGCUUAAGUAUUGCCUGAGACGGCGACCCAGCUUAGCAGCAGGGUUUAUUUUAUUAGUCUCCAUCCUUCUGUGAGUUUGUUUGUCCAGAUGCAACAUGUGCCGCAGGUUCAAGUUUUGGAGUCUUGGUGUUCACGUCGAGGGUGGAAAGCACCUGAAAACCAAUAGAAGUUGGACGUGUUGGGGCAGGGAUGGGUCUGACGCUUAUAGCGGAGAGUCUGGAAUUGCCAGAGCUGGGGAGUUUGCAAUUUAUUUUUAAAAUGAGAGACGUGGCGUUUGCCCAGCAAAAUGUUACAGUGUGUGGUUUGGAGUUGUUUUAGCGGUGCAUCUUUUAUUUCAGUAAUUACCGAGUGGUUCUGUCGGAUCUUUCCCCCGUACUUGCAGCUUGAUUUCUGCAUGCGUUGAGGUGAGGAUGUUUAAUGCACACAAAACGCUUCUCAGAAGCGGGCGCUGGGUUCCACACGUCAGUGGGUCCGACGGUGCGUGUCCUUCUGCACGUGUCACCAUCCCAGCGCUGCCGCUGAUCCGCAGCCGGUGCAGCGUCUGGCCUGGCAAACCAAAGUCCCAUUUUCUGCAGGGACACCGUCCCACGGCUGGUGACACACGGCACACGAGCGUCUGUCUGUCUCCGGGCUGGGGUGGCGCACACGUAUACGGUGACACUGCGAUAAGAGAGAAUCAAAUCUAAGCUGCGUGCGGUCAAUAAAUCUCAAAACAGCUGAGUAUUUCUAGAAAUGUGGCUUUGGAAAAGUGCCUGUGACCCAGCAAGAAAAAGCUUUAGCGGUGCCUAAAAAUUCCUGGAAGGUUUUUGUUUCUUUUUCCUGCUGCGUCUCCUCCAUCCUUGGUGGCUGCUCCAGAUCGGCCGUCAGCGCGGUCACCCGGGGGACACCCAGAUGCCACCGCACCCAGCUGCCCGGUGCUUGUCACCCCAUCAGAGCUGCUGCACGCAAACACAAUUCAUGGUCAACCCACUGGGGUAUUUGCCAAGCGCCCAAAGCUCCCCCAGCGUUGGUGCCAGUGGGUGCUGGAACCUUCUGAUGGAGACUGACCUGGGUACCUGGGGACUGAGAGCAAGGGAAAUGGAAACAUUGAAAUAUAUUUAAAGAAGAAUUCUAUUCAAUUAAAUAAAAAUAUGUUUCCUUUUUGGUUUUGCAGUACCUCUAAGCAGAAGAGCUAAAGACCAGUUGUGAAGGUGCUUCCACGUGGGAGUAGCUACACACUAGAGCCAUCCUUGGGAGUGCGCUGUGAAAAGCCAUGGCAUAGGAGUGAUCACCUGUGAUUUAUGCACCAAAGGAGUCAGUAGGUCCAAAAUGGAGUAGAAAAAAGCAGCUUUGGUCCGAGUUAUCACGUCCCAACUCUUUGUAUAAGUCGACACAGCAACAGCAGAGCUGUAAGGUAACGAACCACAAUGUUACCAUGGGAUUAUGCACUUAUUUACUCAAUGAUGUUAUUUUUUGGGGAAAAAAAACAUCAGAUCCAAUUGGUGUGGUUACCUCAGCAACCACCGAAGUGUCUGGUGCUUGUGCUCCCUGGCAGAGAGGUCGGGUUGUCCCUGGUGUAAACCCCUGCACUCGGCCAUGAGGGACCCGCUCCCUGGUGUAAACCCCUGCACCUUACCAUGAGGGACCUGCUCCCUGGUGUAAACCCCUGCACCUUACCAUGAGGGACCCACUCCCUGGUGUAAACCCCUGCACCCGGCCAUGAGGGACCCGCUCCCUGGUGUAAACCCCUGCACCCAGCCAUGAGGGACCUACUCCCUGGUGUAAACCCCUGGCAGCACUGGGAGGGCUGCUCAGUAAAGUGGAACUCGAGCUUCCUCAUUUUCGAUGUUGUCGGGGCGAUGUAGAAAAGGCGUUUAGUGGCAUGUUCAGAGAUUUCGUCCCUCUGUCCCACUCUGACUUUGGCAGUUUGUUUCUCAUUUCAAAUACCCUCUGCAAUCUAUUACGAUAUUUAGGCCAGUCUUAUUUCCCCCCCCUCUCUCCAGCCUAUGUCCUCUUUCUAUUUAGGAAUUAAUUAUGAUGCUAUCUCGUAUAACUCAUUAGUAUCAAUUAAUUCUUUCCCUUUCAUGAUUUUAUGUAGCUAAAUUAGAUUGCCUCUUAGGAACUUAAUAAUCAGUAUUGGACUCAUUUAGACAUAUCUUUUUUGCCUUCUCCACCCAGUUUUACUUGGACACAAGGAUACGGUGGCUGGAAAUGUCCCGUCCCCUCCGGUGGGACAGGGCUGGUGUGAUGCCACCACUGUGCCCUAUCCCCACCAUCCGCCAGGCUUGGCCUGCCCUCACCCCUAAUUCUGAAUCUUAGCAGUCUUUUUUAUUUAUUCAUUUUGGGGGCACAUAAUGUGUUAUCCCUGCUUUAUGAGAAUGGAUAGAAAAUGUCCUACUUCCAUCAGUUGGCCAAACCAUCAUGAAUUAUCUUCCCCUUGAACUCGCCGCAGGGACAGAGAGAAACAUCGAGGGAGACGUAGGUUUCCCUCAUUCAUCUUGGUGGGGUGUUCACUUUGAAAUCGCAGCGUUGCUGGCAUCCCUAUGUCCGUAUUUAACUGCUUCACUGCUUACUGGCACAUCAAAUCUAUUCAGGGAAAAAAAAGCAGUAAUAUGAUUGAAUAUAUCUGGCAGGACCUGGUAUUCCCACUCAUUUUGAAUCUGAUCCAGCAGCAGCAAAGGCAAUUAAAUAACAAGUUUUCUCCGGCAAAAUGAGUUGCAAAAUGCCCCCAGCUGCAUGAUGUAGGAAAUACACCUUGAUUUUACUAAUUGCCACGGCUGCACCUCGCCAUGGCGGCGGCUGAGGCGGCUUCGCAUGACCCACUUCAUGUAUUUCAAAUCAGCAAAGCGGGGCCGGGUUAUCCCCGACCGCAGCGUUUAAUCCAGGCUGAGCUGCGCGGUGGGGCCGUGGGCAGGGGGUGCUGAGCGGUGAGCGGAUCCGCCGUGUUUGAAGCAUCAAACGUCGCUGGCAUCCCUUCGGCAACGCGAUGCUCCUGAGCAGCCCGGGCCGUGCCGGGACUCACACCAAAGCCGGGCUGCUGUAGGGGCGCACGAGCCUUAGCGAGGCAGAGAAAUGCAGCCUAAAAAGCAGAAUUGCAGCCAAUAUGCGCUCCAGUCCAGCACAGCACCACCACCAAAACGUUGGGAAGUUCUUUAAAGGUGGAACCAAGAGCAAAAAGAAGCAGCAACAUUAAAUAAGUUACUGUGGGUUGCAGCACAUGGAUAGUAAAGGGUAAUAUUGGAUCUUCUUUGCGUCACCCAGAGCUGGGAAAAUAUUACCCAAAGUGGUGUCCCCGUCUGUGUUGCAUUGAACUGCCAAGUUGUUGCUCUUGCUUGGGCAGCUCUGGUGAACUGGCCUGAGAUCCAUCACCUUCUGCACCGACCGGUGGCAGAUGAGGCCGUUCCAAGGGUCCCUCCAUCCCUAUCGCACGUUUUGGGUGAGAAAACUGUCCUCUGGCUCUUUUCCUAUGGGAUAUUUCCAUCACAUUUUGGGGCAGCUCCUGGAGAGCUUGGACAACGUUGGCCAACCUUGCGUUUUCCUAGAGAAACUUUGGGGGACCCCCGGUUGGAAACAGCAGGAUUGAUCCCAAAUUUUCUUGAUUCUAUAUUCGCUGCCAGAUCCAACAGCGGAGCCAGCGACAGGGAGAGGACGCCUCUGCGGGGAAAGCAAAGCCUUUUAAUGAGCAGCGCAAGGAGUCUAAUCGCUAAAUCCCAAUUAAAGCAGAUAUAAAAGGAAGGGCGCGUUGCUGGGAAAGGAGAAGUCAAAAGGCUGAGGCUUGUGGGAUGACUUGAUUUCAGAUGUGCAGGAGCUGCCGGCCCGGACCCCGCUCCAGGGAACAGCAAGGGAGAGGAGGGAAGGAAAAAGGAAAGAACCCAAAACUUUUCUAGGAGGGAAAAAUAUAAACCUACAAGUCCAUUUCCCUCAAAAUUUAAAGAAAAUUCAAUCCCAAACCCAUUCAGGAUGGCUUUCAAAUAUGAUUUCCACUAAAAAUGAGGGAAAACAUGCUGUCCGAUCUACCCUUUUCUGUUUUUUUCCAGAACAUCUGCUUAUUCUGCUAAGGAGAGAUUAUUCUUAUUAUCAACAAAUUCUAACUAUUGUAGUUGAAAUCUAGGGAUCUUACUGAAUAUGCACUUCCUUUAGCUGGGAGCUACCCCGUAUUAUUUCAUCUAUUUACAUUCGUGUAUGCAAUUAUAUUUCAUAAUCUGAUUGUGUGUUUUAUACCUUUACAUGGAUGAAAAUGCUGAAUGUUGCGUUUCUUUUUUAUUAUGUGGGUUGUCAAGUUCUUUUUGGGUAGAAAUAAGAGUUCAGUAACACUGCGGUGAGAACGGCAUUAAUUUCAUCAGCUAAACAGACCCACCAAAAUACUGCUGGAUGUAAAAGGAGCAUGUUUCUUUACACAUGUUCUGCACAUGAAGUUAAUAAAAUACAUUAAUGAAGUUAAUACGCAAAGGAGAUAUUAUUAUCCAUUGUUAAAAAAAAAGGGAAUAGAUUGUUUCUGAUCAUCAUGCCCUUCAAGGUACUAAAACCAGGAGUAUCCCAGAACUAUCUGAUAUUUUCUCCGGGCUCACUAGCACUGAGGUCUUCCCGGUGGGGGCGUGUUAUAGACUCGCAACUCAUAAAUAUUCAAUUUUCCUAUUAAAAAUAUGGGGCAAAAUAGCCAUUAUGGUCUGACAAUGAACAUACUUUCUCUUUUGAUCCUGAUGUCACAAGAAUGUUAAGAGAAAUUUGGCAGUUUUUGAAAUACGACCUGGAGGAUGUCCAGCUGUGACUGCUGAAAUGUUUGGGUUUGCAUCCAUACCUGCUCCUUCUGCUGUUGCUUGUAUUUGGAUUUACUGUAAGAGUGCAAAGUAUGGGCAGCUCACACAAAUUAUUUAUGUUGGCUUCAGUUAAGAACAGAAAAUUUCAGCUUAGAAACAAAAGAAAAGUCUUUGCUUUCCUGUCUCUGACUCAAACUGUUGCGUCUGUGUUGCAUUGAACUGCCAAGUUGUUGCUCUUGCUUGGGCAGCUCUGGUGAACUGGCCUGAGAUCCAUCACCUUCUGCAUCGGCCGGUGGCAGAUGAGGCCGUUCCAAUGGUCCCCCCGUCCCCAUCGCACGGUUUGGGUGAGAAAACUGUCCUGUGGCUCUUCUCCUAUGGGAUAUUUCCAUCACAUUUUGGGGCAGCUCCUGGAGAGCUCGAGCAGAUGAUGAUUUGAUGAUUUGCUUCUGUCAGAUGCUUGCCAGGCUAAUUAAAAAAAAAUGAAGUUUAAAAUGGUUUAUUGCAGAUUUCUUCAUUUACAUCAGUAAUGUAAAUGUGUAGCUGAUUGCUCUGCUAUAUAUAUUUAUUACUUUGAGCUAUUCCGAUUUCUUGGUCAUGGCAUUUUGCAGCUCUGGAAAGCAGAGCGUUUUGCCCAUCUUUAGGUGUGAUGCCAUAAAGAGGGACGUUCAGGACACCAUUUCUCUCAGAAGUGCUGCUCUCGCUGUGACUUUUCCAUGCUCAGGACAGGUCCCUCCUCAGGGCUGAGCUGCUGAUGGGUCUUGACAAGUCCCCAAGUGGGGACAUGCAGCCCUGGACUAAGGUGGGAAGGAGGGUUUGGCUUAGACCUCUGUAAAACAACAGUCUUGAGCAUCAUUUCAGCAGGUUUGAGCCCAUAAAUACUGGUUUAGAACUGAAAACUAAAAGUCCUAUGAGUACUUUUUCCAUUAAAAACAACGUUCAUUUGUUUUUAUGUUUUGUUAAAUAUUAGGACUUUCUGAAAGGCUCCUGAGAGACCUCUUAAGGGUCUCCCAGCUGUGUUGACCACGCAUGGCACGCACCAGAAAGCACCAAUACAGCGCGAAAAGAGGGUAGAGCUCUUGUCUGCCGCACUCCCUCUCCAUCCACCUGCAAUCUGGCUCCUUUCCCUUGUAGAAGAGAAUAGUGGUGCUUGCUUAUACUAACAGAUGUCAGUGCUGGGUUUGCUGACCCACUGCGAUGGCUUUGACUUCUCACUCAACGGAAACAUAAACCCAACAGGAACCGUCCUGUGAAGCGGCACCCAGGUGCCAACCUUUGGGCAGCUCAGCCUGGUUUGGGGUGCAACACGGGAAAAGCACCAAAACGAGUACCCAGUCCUCAAGUCAUGCAGACGUGGCACUGUGGACCAAAAAUGAAGGAGAACUGAAUGAGAGACGCGGAUGUUGAUCAGUGGUUGAAGCUUCUGUCCUUGCAAGAAAACCCAAACCCUUUUUAUCUGACAAACUUCUCUUACUAAAAUAUUUCAUGAAACUUUUGUCAGUCAAUUUAACUUCUAAGAAGAUCAAUGGCCACUUCACCAAGAAUUUUUGUAUCGUGCUGCUUGUCUUCAAGAUCUUCGUCAGGGAAGGACACAGGUUUUACUACAGCUGUUCCACUACCAAGUUCCUCGUCCUCAGCAGGAGCAGGACAUUGGUGUGUGGACCUUCCAGGUUUUGUUUCAGCGUUGGUGGCCCUUCAGCUUCCUUAAAACUUGGAAAGAAAGGUGGUAACCAAGGGGGUGGCCACAGCAGAACCAAUACACAGGACCCCCCCGUGCAAACUUCUGUGGUGAUCCAGCACCUCCCACCCCACGGAGCAGCUUCCCACUAAUUUCCAGCAUUUCGGUUUGUUGCUGAUUCUGUGUGGAGAUACUGUUUCCAUCAGCAUGUCUUAAUAUACUAAACUUGUCCCCUAAGCCCGUCCUCUGAAGCUUGGUCGUACGGUAGGUAAACAAAAGUGACUUUACAUUGGCGGGACUACAAGCCCA